AAAGGUCCAAAACUCUAAUUGUCGUCGUGGUAUAUUUUACCCUAUAUUCUACAAGUUAUUUAUAAACGGUUGUCAUGGCCCACAACUCUAAUCGCGUUGCGGUGAUAUUUGAUAAUAAUCUUCGUUGUUGAUUAUCUACAAGUUGUGGUAUAAUUCACCCCAUACUCUACAAGUUGUUGUUUAUUAACAGUCGUCAGGAAGGUUCACCACUCUAAUAUAUGUUACUGAUUUUGUCUUUUUGACCAUACAGAAAGAAAGUAUCAUCCGGGAAUUUUAUCAUGUUGACAAGAAGCGACUUUUGCUUUUGUAGGGCUUGGGGAAUGUGGGAUCUCGGGUUGCUAAUUUGGUUCAUGAAAGGGAUAGCAAGCUGUUCAUUUUUAAUACUCAGCAUUCCACAAGCCUUUGGUUGAGCCGUUGAGUUUUUGUAGGUAGAUAGGGUGGCAGGUGGGACGCAACUAGCAUCCUAAUCUUCUUGCUUGGACCUACUAGGAUUUAAGGUGCAGACCAAGGUUAUAUGCGAGGUUGUUGGCAACAGUAUUAACAGAUUCAGUGUUGGCUGGUGAAAGGUCUUUGAUGUCUGCAGCAGUGUUGCUUGAUAAGCUCUACAAGAAAUACUUAAUUAAAAUGAAGCGUAAAAGAAAGAUGAAUAAGGAGAUGCAUAUUUUCAUAAUGUGGCUAAAUCGGAAGACCUCGGGUUGACUAUUCCAAGUCUAAGAAAGCCAUAUCCAUCAAUAAAAAAAGCCUUCUUUUGUAGGUCACAUUCUCAAAUUUAAACUCUCUUAUGUAAACAUUGGCCACUUAAUGUAAGUUCCAGUUAUCGCUCUAGAUUUUCAAGAUUCGUAUGUAGAGUUUGAGUUAAUAUUAUUGACAAAUGAAUAGCAAAUUGCAUGUGGGCGUUGUUGCUGCAGGUGUGGAUUUUGAUACAAGUCUAUUAUCGUUUAUGAUUUUUUUUAAAAAGAAGGAUACUGAUUGAAAGAAAAAUAAAAAGAAUGGAGGGAUCAUUGGUGGCAUUUGUAUACAUAGAUUUACAAGUAGCUACAACUUCAGUACGCAUUAGAGACUCUAUAUCCAUCAGCCAAUGUGUAAGAAUCUACGUUGACAAAUUGUCAUAUUAUAGCUUUAUUGAUGAUUGUCUUUAUUAUUUAUAUUCAUAUUAUACAAUUGUUUAUUUAAUCUUUGUUUAAUCAAAUUGUAACCUUUCAAUUGUAAAUAAGAUCUGAUACUUUUAGUUUUGUGGACC